UAAUGUGAGGGUAGUCUGGCUGCGACAUCUGUCACUCCACUGGUCUCCAGGGUGGAUUUGGCUGAUGUGGCUGGCUAGGCAGGUGUUCCCUUCCUCCCUCACUGCUCCAUGUGUGUCCCUCCUGAAGCUGUGCACUUGGUCAAAGAGGAGGACCACCCCCAAUAGAGGAGGACAUUUUCUUAGUCAAGGUUAUAUGAGUAGUUGCACUCCCCUGCUAGAACCUCCAAACAAGCUCUCAAACAGGUAGGAUUACAGGUGUGUGCCACCAUGCUUGGUGAGGACUGAUAAGUGUUGCCUUUCUGA
ensembl:misc_RNA 7SK 7SK RNA